CGAGUCCCAGCUAUUGUGGCUUUAAGUGACGUGAACCAGUGCAUGGAAGAUCUCUCUGUGUCUUUUGUUUCUCUCUCUUCCUUGUCAAUAAAUAAUUUAAAAAGUUAAAACAAAAAGUCCAAAUCUUCCACCGGCUCCCCUACUGACAGUGCAAGUCCCGACAGUGACCUGGAGCUGGGUGCAGUGUCGCCUCCCUCCUUUGCUGACCCCACUCUCCCUUCAUGCUCUCUGCUCUAGCCAGAAUGGUCUCCAUGGGGUUCCCACAACAUCCCAGGCAAUAACAACCUGGUAUGGGGGCCUUUGAACUGGCUUUGUCCCCAGCUGGAAUUCCGUUCCCCCAGAGGUCACACGAGUGGCUCCCUCACCUCUCAGAUGUCACCGUCUCACAGACACCCACUUGUACAGAUGAGCAUUUCCGGCCCCCUCCUUGCUGCCUCGAUGCCUCCAUGACACCAGCGUUCUAGGUUUGUUGACAGCCCCGGCCACCAGGACAGCGGCUGUGAAUUCGUCGGUUUUGUUACCGUAUUCCUGCGCCCGACACCUGGUCGGUGUUCAUCAGAUGCUCGUGGAUCAGGACCAGCCCCCAGGAAGCUCAGAGCCGAACAUGCAGCUGGUCACUCUCCGAGCCUUUUCUUAGCCUUGGAUUCCUUCUCUUAUUUAUGUCAACCUUGUCACCAGCUUCUUCCUGUCCCUUGUGAAGGAGUAAGACAUGUCGUAUCUGGGGGCCUGUGUUGUGGUGCAGCUGAUGAAGCUGCCGCUGGUGACAUCAGCAUUCCAUAUCGGAGAGACAAUCCCAGUCCCGGCUGCUCUGCCCACGCUCCACCCCCCUGCUGGUCUCCCACGCGGGUGCAGGGGCCCAAGGACCUGGGCCAUCUUCCACUGCUUUCCCAGGCCAUAGCAGAGAGCUGGAUCGGAAGUGGAGCAACUGGGACUCGAACCGGCGCCCAUAUGGGAUUCUAGCACCACAGGCUGCAGCUUUACCCAGUAUGCCACAGCACUGGCCCCAUUAUUACAGUGCUUUUAGUCAUUCAAUAUCACGGUUUUAAUGUCUAAGAAUUCCACUUUGUACUCAUUUGCAUAACAUCCUGUCUUUUUAAAAAAUAUAUUUUCAUUUUAUUUGAAAAGCAGAGAUCCAGAAGGGGACACACACGCACACAGAGGGUGAAGAGUUAAAAUUGUAUAUGUGCAGGUGUAAAAAGUUAAGCUUAAGCUUACAGGUUUAAACCUUCCUGGUACAGCUGUAAAAAUAAGACAGAAUAGCCCCUUGACAGUAGGGACUCCAUUUUGGAGCACUUGAGACUCCAUUCUGAGAAAGCACCCCCCACCCCCCCCACCG
rnacentral:lncRNA from 1 species